UACGGAGGGUGCGAGCGUCAAUCGGAAUUACUGGGCGUAAAGGGUGCGUAGGUGGUUGAUUAAGUUAUGUGUGAAAGCCCAGGGCUUAACCUUGGGAUUGCAGAUAAAACUGGUUAGCUAGAGUAUGAGAGAGGGUAGUGGAAUUUCCGGUGUAGCGGUGAAAUGCGUAGAGAUCGGAAGGAACACCGGUGGCGAAGGCGGCUACCUGGCUUAAUACUGACACUGAGGCACGAAAGCGUGGGGAUCAAACAGG
rnacentral:rRNA from 1 species